rnacentral:lncRNA from 1 species
AAGUAAGUCUCCAAAGUACGCCUGCCACCUCUGCUUGACUUGAGACUCCCCCAUCAGAACUCAAUCAUCCUCGCCCUUGAUGCACCUGACUUGGUCAAGACAACGCGCCUUCCUUUCCCUUGUUUUAGCUAACCGGAAUAACUUCCUGUCCACGCCUUUCUCCCCUAAUUCCUCGUACAUGCGACCAAACGCCGCAUUUUUAGCUUCC